rnacentral:rRNA from 1 species
GACGAACGCUGGCGGCGUGCUUAACACAUGCAAGUCGAACGGAAAGGCCCUGCUUUUGUGGGGUGCUCGAGUGGCGAACGGGUGAGUAACACGUGAGUAACCUGCCCUUGACUUUGGGAUAACUUCAGGAAACUGGGGCUAAUACCGGAUAGGAGCUCCUGCUGCAUGGUGGGGGUUGGAAAGUUUCGGCGGUUGGGGAUGGACUCGCGGCUUAUCAGCUUGUUGGUGGGGUAGUGGCUUACCAAGGCUUUGACGGGUAGCCGGCCUGAGAGGGUGACCGGCCACAUUGGGACUGAGAUACGGACCAGAAGGCUACGGGAGGCAGCAGGGGGGAAUAUGGCAGAAUGGGCGGAAGCCAGAUGCAGCAACGCCGCGUGCGGGAUGACGGCCUUCGGGUUGUAAACCGCUUUCGCCUGUGACGAAGCGUGAGUGACGGUAACGGGUAAAGAAGCACCGGCUAACUACGUG